UGUGCUUUGCGCCUGUGCAAGGCUGUACUUACUUGAUUCAGCAUUAUUUGUUUUUUAACAAUUUUGUUAACAUAUUAAUUGUUGUAAUGUUUUUGUUACAUAGUUCAUGUUGUGUUCAUCCUUUACUUAAAGGAAUUAUAUUCGAUAACUGACAUGGAUAAAUUCUCUCUCAGUUUGAAGAUACAGAGAACAAGCAUAUUUUCAAGAUGAAAGCUCAUAUUUUAUUUUCGCCUCAGAAUCUUGGAGUCGUGUUCAUAAGUGUAUGACGUAGGUGUGGGACUUCCCUCCAAGAGUUUUGACGUAAAGCUUCGGUUCCUCCCACUGACUGCUAAUUCAGAUCAAGGAGGAAGAAACAUGAUGCUUCAACAAUUUGGAGGAGUAAAUGCAAUUGGAUUCUAUAAAUUAUGCAAAGUUCAUCAAGUUAUGUAAACAAUUGUAUUCUUUAUAAUCUAUGUAAAAAAUUUAUGUAUCUUUCUAGUAUUUUGGUGAAUGUAUUUUUUGAAUAUAAUUAUAUUUGAUAUUGAAAUAUAAUUAGAUUGAUUGUGUUGGAUA